rnacentral:rRNA from 1 species
ACUCAAAUGAAUUGACGGGGACCCACACAAGCGGUGGAGCAUGUGGUUUAAUUCGAUACUAAACGAGGAACCUUACCCAGGCUUGACAUCUCCGGAACCCUGAGGAAACUCGGGGGUGCCGUAAGGAACCGGAUGACAGGUGCUGCAUGGUCGUCGUCAGCUCGUGCCUUGAGGUGUUCGGUUAAGUCCGUAAACGAGCGCAACCCAUGUCUUAUGUUGUAAUUCUCAUAAGAGACUGCCGGCUACAAGUCGGAGGAAGGUAUGGAUGACGUCAGAUCAGCAUGGCCCUUAUGCCUGGGGCCACACACGUGCUACAAUGGCCGGUACAAAGGGCAGCUAACCCGCAAGGGGGAGCCAAUCCCGCUCAAAGCCGGUCUCAGUUCGGAUUGGGGGCUGCAACUCGACCCCAUGAAGUUGGAAUCGCUAGUAACCGUAAAUCAGCCAUGUUACGGUGAAUAUGUUCCUGGGUCUUGUACACACCGCCCGU